rnacentral:rRNA from 1 species
GUAGGCGGGUGGUUUAGGUAAAUCCGGACCGCUACUAACGCUGAGAUACGAUGUCGAGCUACUACGGUAGUGAAGUCAUUGAUGCCAUGCUUCCAGGAAAAGCCUCUAAGCUUCAGAUUGUAAGGAAUCGUACCCCAAACCGACACAGGUGGUCGGGUAGAGAAUACCAAGGCGCUUGAGAGAACUCGGGUGAAGGAACUAGGCAAAAUGGUACCGUAACUUCGGGAGAAGGUACGCUCUUAUCAGUGAAGUCCCUUGCGGAUGGAGCAGACGAGAGUCGCAGAUACCAGGUGGCUGCAACUGUUUAUUAAAAACACAGCACUGUGCAAAAUCGUAAGAUGACGUAUACGGUGUGACGCCUGCCCGGUGCCGGAAGGUUAAUUGAUGGGGUUAGACUUCGGUCGAAGCUCUUGAUCGAAGCCCCGGUAAACGGCGGCCGUAACUAUAACGGUCCUAAGGUAGCGAAAUUCCUUGUCGGGUAAGUUCCGACCUGCACGAAUGGCGUAAUGAUGGCCACGCUGUCUCCACCCGAGACUCAGUGAAAUUGAAAUCGCUGUGAAGAUGCAGUGUACCCGCGGCUAGACGGAAAGACCCCGUGAACCUUUACUACAGCUUGGCACUGAACAUUGAACCUACAUGUGUAGGAUAGGUGGGAGACUAUGAAAUUGCGUCGCUAGAUGUGAUGGAGUCGUCCUUGAAAUACCACCCUUGUAGUUUUGAUGUUCUAACGUUGGUCCCUGAAUCGGGAUUACGGACAGUGCCUGGUGGGUAGUUUGACUGGGGCGGUCUCCUCCCAAAGAGUAACGGAGGAGCACGAAGGUGGGCUAAACACGGUUGGACAUCGUGUGGUUAGUGCAAUGGCAUAAGCCCGCUUGACUGCGAGAAUGACAAUUCGAGCAGGUGCGAAAGCAGGUCAUAGUGAUCCGGUGGUUCUGAAUGGAAGGGCCAUCGCUCAACGGAUAAAAGGUACUCCGGGGAUAACAGGCUGAUACCGCCCAAGAGUUCAUAUCGACGGCGGUGUUUGGCACCUCGAUGUCGGCUCAUCACAUCCUGGGGCUGAAGUCGGUCCCAAGGGUAUGGCUGUUCGCCAUUUAAAGUGGUACGCGAGCUGGGUUUAGAACGUCGUGAGACAGUUCGGUCCCUAUCUGCCGUGGGCGUUGGAAAAUUGAAAGGGGCUGCUCCUAGUACGAGAGGACCGGAGUGGACGAACCUCUGGUGUUCGGGUUGUCAUGCCAAUGGCAUUGCCCGGUAGCUAAGUUCGGAAUCGAUAACCGCUGAAAGCAUCUAAGCGGGAAGCGAGCCUUGAGAUGAGUUUUCCCUGGCACUAUAAGUGUCCUAAAGGGUUGUCGUAGACUACGACGUUGAUAGGCAGGGUGUGUAAGUGCUGCGAGGCAUUGAGCUAACCUGUACUAAUUGCCCGUGAGGCUUAACCAUACAACACCCAAGGGGUUU